CAUAUGGAGGGUUUGAUCCUGGCUCAGGGCUAACGCUGGCGGCGUGUCUUAGCCAUGCAAGUCGAGCGGACUUAUGGGGUAACUUAUAAGUCAGC
rnacentral:rRNA from 1 species